GACGAACGCUGGCGGCGUGCUUAACACAUGCAAGUCGAACGGUAAGGCUCCAGCUUGCUGGGGUACACGAGUGGCGAACGGGUGAGUAACACGUGGGUGACCUGCCCUGCACUUCGGGAUAAGCCUGGGAAACUGGGUCUAAUACCGGAUAGGACCGCACCGUGAGGGUGUGGUGGAAAGUUUUUUCGGUGUGGGAUGGGCCCGCGGCCUAUCAGCUUGCUGGUGGGGUAAUGGCCUACCAAGGCGGCGACGGGUAGCCGGCCUGAGAGGGUGGACGGCCACAUUGGGACUGAGACACGGCCCAGACUCCUACGGGAGGCAGCAGUGGGGAAUAUUGCACAAUGGGCGGAAGCCUGAUGCAGCGACGCCGCGUGGGGGAUGACGGCCUUCGGGUUGUAAACUCCUUUCACCAUCGACGAAGGGUUUCUGACGGUAGAUGGAGAAGAAGCACCGGCUAACUACGUGCCAGCAGCCGCGGUAAUACGUAGGGUGCGAGCGUUGUCCGGAAUUACUGGGCGUAAAGAGCUCGUAGGUGGUUUGUCGCGUCGUCUGUGAAAUUCCGGGGCUUAACUCCGGGCGUGCAGGCGAUACGGGCAUAACUUGAGUACUGUAGGGGAGACUGGAAUUCCUGGUGUAGCGGUGAAAUGCGCAGAUAUCAGGAGGAACACCGGUGGCGAAGGCGGGUCUCUGGGCAGUAACUGACGCUGAGGAGCAAAAGCAUGGGGAGCGAACAGGAUUAGAUACCCUGGUAGUCCAUGCCGUAAACGGUGGGCGCUAGGUGUGGGUUUCCUUCCACGGGAUCCGUGCCGUAGCUAACGCAUUAAGCGCCCCGCCUGGGGAGUACGGCCGCAAGGCUAAAACUCAAAGGAAUUGACGGGGGCCCGCACAAGCGGCGGAGCAUGUGGAUUAAUUCGAUGCAACGCGAAGAACCUUACCUGGGCUUGACAUAUACAGGAUCGCGCCAGAGAUGGUGUUUCCCUUGUGGCUUGUAUACAGGUGGUGCAUGGUUGUCGUCAGCUCGUGUCGUGAGAUGUUGGGUUAAGUCCCGCAACGAGCGCAACCCUUGUCUUAUGUUGCCAGCACGUUGUGGUGGGGACUCGUAAGAAACUGCCGGGGUUAACUCGGAGGAAGGUGGGGAUGACGUCAAAUCAUCAUGCCCCUUAUGUCCAGGGCUUCACACAUGCUACAAUGGUCGGUACAGUGGGUUGCCAGCCCGUGAGGGCGAGCUAAUCCCGCAAAGCCGGUCUCAGUUCGGAUCGGGGUCUGCAACUCGACCCCGUGAAGUCGGAGUCGCUAGUAAUCGCAGAUCAGCAACGCUGCGGUGAAUACGUUCCCGGGCCU
rnacentral:rRNA from 1 species